rnacentral:misc_RNA from 1 species
CCAAACUUGGUCAUUUAGAGGAAGUAAAAGUCGUAACAAGGUUUCCGUAGGUGAACCUGCGGAAGGAUCAUUAAUAAAGAGUUAUGCCUCUUUUAAAAAAAGGGGUAGAUCUCCAAACCCUUGAUUUUUUUUACUUUGUUGCUUUGGUGGAUUUUUUUUUUUCACUAGUAAAAAAAACCCUAGUGUUUGUAAUCCACCAGAGGAAAAAUUUAAAAAACUCUUUUGAAUUUGUCUAAUAUAAAGCCAAAAAAUUUUUUAAAACUUUCAACAACGGAUCUCUUGGUUCUGGCAUCGAUGAAGAACGCAGC